CUGCCCGACUCCGAGGGUGCCAUCAACGGCCACCUUACGGAGGCAGGGCUCACCAUCCACCUUCUCAAGGACGUGCCCGGGCUCAUCUCCAAGAACAUCGAGCAGGCGCUCGAGGACGCAUUCAAGCCUCUGGGCAUCCACGACUGGAACUCCAUCUUCUGGAUUGCACACCCUGGCGGGCCGGCGAUCCUGGACAUGGUUGAGGAGAAAGUUGGCCUUGACAAGGAACGCAUGCGCGCGAGCCGAGAGGUCCUGUCGGAGUAUGGCAAUAUGUCCAGCGCAUGUGUCCUCUUCGUCCUCGACGUGAUGCGUAAGACCUCUUCCCAGGAUGGCCAAGCAACCACUGGAGAGGGUAAGGAGUGGGGUGUCCUCUUCGGCUUUGGCCCCGGCCUCACCGUCGAGACACUCGUCCUCUACAGCGUCCCAUUGGCAACCAUUGCAUGA
rnacentral:rRNA from 1 species